AUAUUUUUCUAGUGAUCAAAAUGAUAGAAUUAAUUAAAAAAAUAGAAAAUAAUAUGGAAAUGUUAUCGUAAAGAAGCAUUGAUCUAAGAGUGGUUUGUUUAAAAUAACAACCUAAUGGUCAAAAUGAUAAAAUUAAUUAAGAACACAGAAAAGCACAUGGAUAUGUUUAAGAUAAGAGACAUUUUAUGUAGAAGGGUGGUUAUAGACAAAAAUUUAAUCAAAAGUAGGGAUCAUGAAGAAUUUGUUCAUACGUUGGUGUAAUCCUGGUCAAGAACUGGACUUUUGUCUAAUGAUAUCAUUUUAACCUAACGUUUUUUUUCAAUUUUCACCAACAUAUUUGAAAUCCCAUAUAAAGAAACGUGUACUUUAUCCUGAUGCUGAACCGACAAUUUAUAACAACUUAUUUUUAUAUGACAAACAUUUUAUCCCAAAAGCAAAAAUAUAAAAGUUAUAACUGGUAAAUCAUAGAAAACGUACGUUAAUUGUGUUGUGUGUAAGAAAUCAGUACUGAAAUGUAACGGCAUCAGUAUUUCUGUACACGCAUUUCCAUUGUUUUUGACAAAUAGCAUAAAUGAUGUAAUGAUGGUGAAAAAAAAUUGCAAGCGCUAUUUAAAUAAAAUGCUUAUUUUCUAAACUCAACAGCUAGCCCGUAAACUAGUACGCCAUAUUCAAAAUAUUUUACUGGCAAUGCAUAUAAUGAAGACAACUCAAAUAAUUGCUCAGUUUUUACAGUUUCUUCCACAAUUAUUAAUGGAAAUAUAUACUAUAAACACAACUCAGAUAAUUGCUCAACUUCUUCAGAAUCAUCCACAAUUGUUAAUGAAAAUUAAUACAAUGAAGAAUGCUCUCUCUAUGAUGGUGACCUCUACAUAUAACACAUGGAUUAAUAUUAUGAGUAAUAGAGUUUAUUCUACUUCAGGUAGGUUUUAUUCAUGUGUAAUUCCAUUAAGUAGAUUAUUCUUUAAAACUUUUAAUCAAUUCAAAAUGCAUUACCGUCGUCACCGUAAUGAUAAUGAUAUGGUGUGCGGGAGAUGUAACAAAAUGUUUCCUUACAAGAGCAAAAUGCGCAAACAAAGUAUAAAGAUUUUUGCAAGUUUUCUGGUAUGUUUGUCUGUGUUUUGUGUAUCGAAUCAUUAAACGAAAUUCAAAUAUAAGCCAUCAUAAAUAAAUCACGCACAUUCAGAAUUAACCAAAAAAAAAAAAAAAUUGGUCAAAAUGAUAAAAUUAAUUAAGAACACAGAAAAGCACAUGGAUAUGUUUAAGAUAAGAGACAUUUUAUGUAGAAGGGUGGUUAUUGACAAAAAUGUAAUCAAAAGUAGGGAUCAUGAAGAAUUUGUUCAUAAGUUGGUGUAAUCCUGGUCAAAAACUGGACUUUUGUCUUAUGACACCAUUUUAACCUAACGUUUUUUUUCAAUUUUCACCAACAUAUUUGAAAUCCCAUAUAAAGAAACGUGUACUUUAUCCUGAUGCUGAACCGACAAUUUAUAACAACUUAUUUUUAUAUGACAAACAUUUUAUCCCAAAAGCAAAAAUAUAAAAGUUAUAACUGGUAAAUCAUAGAAAACGUAUGUUAAUUGUGUUGUG